GAAAAGCUUUUCCUCUUGAGCCUUCUGCCGUGCUGCCUGCCUUGGAGCUGGCCUGCGGUGGACCAAAAAAGUGAGCCGAGGUAUGUGGCCACCAGGUGGCAGUAGCGCACCACACCAGAGAAACCGACGGCCGCCAACGCUGAAGACCUGAUUCAGAGGAAGAGUCAUCGCAGAAGUCACCGAGGAGUUCCGGUCUCUGCUGUUCCUGCUGUCUGCUGUCGCAGGGCACACCGAAGUCUUGCGAAA